AGCUGUCAUUCAUAGUCACAAAAAACCAAGAAUCACGGUUAUAAUAGGAAACGAGCAACCAAGAAUCAGCAUUUAAGAAUGAAGAAAAAAGAUAUCAUCACGAAAUCACAGUCAUAUGUAUACAUUCUUUUUAUUGAAAAACCAAAAAUACCUAGAUUACAGUGUGGCAGCAGAUUUUCCAGCUCUUCUGCAGUCAAUUCUUGAGUGGCCGAACAAGAUGAUCUGCCAGCAUGAUAGAGAAAAGGAAAAAGCAUUCAUGCAAUACCAAUACAAAAACCAUUGUGUUUUUAAUUUCUCCUUUAAUUUCUUUUUUGACAGGUAGGGCAUUUAAAUUGAUUGGUAUUAUUAGAAAUGAAAAUGUAUAACCAUGUUUAGUUGGUAGAGAAAAACACUCAAAUGAGUGCUUACCUUUCAGGAUCCCAUGAGUUACUGGAACAGGUCCACUUGGAAGGAAGAAGAACAUCGGAAGGCAAUCUACGCCACUUAAAACAAUCUUCACACUGAGCCCACUGGAUCUUUUCCCUGACACAAGAAACAGAUUGGAAUUUUAGUGGUUUAAGACAACUCUUGCCGCCUGUAAGACAAGCUAUCAUAGUAUAUAGUGUUUGGUAUUUUCAUUAUGAUUUCACAGAAUACUUGAAUAAACCCACCAAGGUGCGAACUACAUUAUAAGUACAAUAUGGAAUUUCAAUAUUAUACAAGAAGUACAAAGAUUUCAACAAGCCCACAAAAAU
rnacentral:lncRNA from 1 species